rnacentral:rRNA from 1 species
AGAGCGAACGCUGGCGGCAGGCUUAACACAUGCAAGUCGAGCGCCCCGCAAGGGGAGCGGCAGACGGGAGAGUAACACGUGGGAACGUACCUUUCGGUUCGGAACAACCCAGGGAAACUUGGGCUAAUACCGGAUACGUCCGUAAGGAGAAAGAUUUAUCGCCGAAAGAUCGGCCCGCGUCUGAUUAGCUAGUUGGUGAGGUAACGGCUCACCAAGGCGACGAUCAGUAGCUGGUCUGAGAGGAUGAUCAGCCUCACUGGGACUGAGACACGGCCCAGACUCCUACGGGAGGCAGCAGUGGGGAAUAUUGGACAAUGGGCGCAAGCCUGAUCCAGCCAUGCCGCGUGAGUGAUGAAGGCCCUAGGGUUGUAAAGCUCUUUUGUGCGGGAAGAUAAUGACGGUACCGCAAGAAUAAGCCCCGGCUAACUUCGCGCCAGCAGCCGC